GCUUAUUCUCAGGGCGGGGCGAAAUUCCCCACCGGCGGUAAAUCAGCCCAGGCUGAAAGCCCGCGAGCGCUUCGCUGUAAUGGUGAAGGUCAGCAGAUCCGGUGUAAUUCCGGGGCCGACGGUUAAAGUCCGGAUGGGAGAGGGUAACG
rfam:Corchorus olitorius cultivar O-4 contig04935, whole genome shotgun sequence.